rnacentral:rRNA from 1 species
CCGCCGGCGGCCGCCCCCCCACCACAGGGUUUCUUUUUUUUGCGCCCGGGAAGAUUAGCAUAUCAAUAAGCGGAGGAAAAGAAACCAACAGGGAUUGCCCUAGUAACGGCGAGUGAAGCGGCAAAAGCUCAAAUUUGAAAUCUGGCCUCUAGGGGUCCGAGUUGUAAUUUGCAGAGGAUGCUUUUGGUAGAGCACUAUCCGAGUUCCCUGGAAUGGGACGCCACAGAGGGUGAGAGCCCCGUCUGGUUAGCUGCAAAGCCUCUAUAAAGCUCCUUCAACGAGUCGAGUAGUUUGGGAAUGCUGCUCAAAGUGGGAGGUAUAUGUCUUCUAAAGCUAAAUACCGGCUAGAGACCGAUAGCGCACAAGUAGAGUGAUCGAAAGAUGAAAAGCACUUUGAAAAGAGGGUUAAACAGUACGUGAAAUUGCUAAAAGGGAAGCACUUACAACUAGACGUGGGGGCGUGCAAUCACCUAGUAUUCGUACUAGGGCACUUAGGCGCCUCUAGGCUAGCAUUAGUUUGCUAUAGGGGAUAAAGACGCUAGGAACGUGGCCCCCCUCGGGGGGUGUUAUAGCCUAGCGUAUAAUGCCCUAUAGCAGACUAAGGUCCGCGCUCUGCAAGGAUGCUGGCAUAAUGGUUGUUAGUGACCCGUCUUGAAACACGGACCAAGGAGUCGUCCUCGUAUGCGAGUGUUUGGGUGUUAAACCCGUGCGCGGAAUGAAAGUAAACGUAGGUGAGAGCCCUCUAGGGCGCAUUACCGACCGAUCCUGAUGUUCUCGGAUGGAUUUGAGUAAGAGCAUACGGGGCCGGACCCGAAAGAAGGUGAACUAUGCCUGCGUAGGGUGAAGCCAGAGGAAACUCUGGUGGAGGCUCGCAUGCGGUUCUGACGUGCAAAUCGAUCGUCAAACGUGGGCAUGGGGGCGAAAGACUAAUCGAACUCUACGUGUU